rnacentral:tRNA from 1 species
GGGGAUAUAGCUCAGUGGCACAGCGCCUGCCUGGCAAGCAUGAGGUCAUGGGUUCAAUUCCUGAUAGCCA